GACAGAGGUGCCAAGCGUUAGGCGGAAUCACUGGGCUUAAAGCGUGUGUAGGCGGGCGAUCAAGUACCUUGUGAAUCCCACGGCCCAACCCGUGGAACUGCUUGGUAUACUGGGUGCCUUGAGCUAUCUAGGGGCAACUGGAACAAACGGUGGAGCGGUGAAAUGCGUAGAUAUCGUUUGGAACGCCAAUGGUGAAACAGGUUGACUG
rnacentral:rRNA from 1 species